CUCCAGACUCCUACGGGAGGCAGCAGUGGGGAAUAUUGCACAAUGGGGGAAACCCUGAUGCAGCGACGCCGCGUGAGCGAUGAAGUAUUUCGGUAUGUAAAGCUCUAUCAGCAGGGAAGAAGAUGACGGUACCUGACUAAGAAGCCCCGGCUAACUACGUGCCAGCAGCCGCGGUAAUACGUAGGGGGCAAGCGUUAUCCGGAUUUACUGGGUGUAAAGGGAGCGUAGACGGCGAUGCAAGCCAGAUGUGAAAGCCCGGGGCUCAACCCCGGGACUGCAUUUGGAACUGUGUGGCUGGAGUGUCGGAGAGGCAGGCGGAAUUCCUAGUGUAGCGGUGAAAUGCGUAGAUAUUAGGAGGAACACCAGUGGCGAAGGCGGCCUGCUGGACGAUGACUGACGUUGAGGCUCGAAAGCGUGGGGAGCAAACAGGAUUAGAUACCCUAGUA
rnacentral:rRNA from 1 species